AAAUUUAAGUCCAUUGUGAAACCCAUGUCUCACUAUAAACAACACAAACAACAAGACAAUAACAACAUAUUUAAGUCCAUUCUUCUGUCCACUGAAAAAUUAAAACAAUAUACAACAUAAAAUUUUGGUCUUUAAAAAGCAAAGAAAACUUACAAAUUUUCGAAGCUAGCAAUGAGUGUAUGUCUGUACGAGCACCAAUUCAUCAAUUGCAUAACCCAGUGACCAGUGUUGCUAAUAUAAUCUGCAUUUGUCCCAAAAUUUUAGUUUCGGUGUCAAGUAAAUAACAUAAACAAGUAAAUUUACUUUAUGACAAGUACCAAAAAUAAUUUUUUAUCACAAAAAUAUUGUAGUCACCGACUCUUUUCAGCAAAGUAAUACAAAAAAUUCAUUGAAUAUAUUUUAAUUUUUACAAAGCAUAAGCAAUAAGUAUGAGAAAACCCCAAUUCCUGUUUCCUCUAGCUUGAAUAAAAAAUUUAAAAUACCAAAUUUUGUUACCUUUUAUUUAUGUUCUGAUUUUGAAAUUACUGGGGAGAACAAGUGCCCUGCGUUUUCUUUCUAAGGAGAAGCCGAG
rnacentral:lncRNA from 1 species